rnacentral:rRNA from 1 species
GAUGAACGCUGGCGGCGUGCCUAAUACAUGCAAGUCGAGCGAAUGGAUUAAGAGCUUGCUCUUAUGAAGUUAGCGGCGGACGGGUGAGUAACACGUGGGUAACCUGCCCAUAAGACUGGGAUAACUCCGGGAAACCGGGGCUAAUACCGGAUAACAUUUUGAACCGCAUGGUUCGAAAUUGAAAGGCGGCUUCGGCUGUCACUGAUGGAUGGACCCGCGUCGCAUUAGCUAGUUGGUGAGGUAACGGCUCACCAAGGCAACGAUGCGUAGCCGACCUAGGGGGGUGAUCUGCCAAACUGGGAAUGGAACACGGCCCAGACUCCUACGGGAGGCAGCAGUAGGGAAUCUUCCGCAAUGGGCGGAAGGCUGACGGAGCAACGCCGCGUGAGUGAAGAAGGCUUUCGGGUCGUAAAACUCUGUUGUUAGGGAAGAACAAGUGCUAGUUGAAUAAGCUGGCACCUUGACGGUACCUAACCAGAAAGCCACGGCUAACUACGUGCCAGCAGCCGCGGUAA